CCCAGACUCCUACGGGAGGCAGCAGUGGGGGAUAUUGCACAAUGGGGGAAACCCUGAUGCAGCGACGCCGCGUGGGUGAAGAAGCGCCUCGGCGCGUAAAGCCCUGUCAGCAGGGAAGAAAAUGACGGUACCUGAAGAAGAAGCCCCGGCUAACUACGUGCCAGCAGCCGCGGUAAUACGUAGGGGGCAAGCGUUAUCCGGAUUUACUGGGGGUAAAGGGGGCGCAGACGGCGAUGCAAGCCAGGAGUGAAAGCCCGGGGCCCAACCCCGGGACUGCUCUUGGAACUGCGUGGCUGGAGUGCAGGAGGGGCAGGCGGAAUUCCUGGUGUAGCGGUGAAAUGCGUAGAUAUCAGGAGGAACACCGGUGGCGAAGGCGGCCUGCUGGACUGCAACUGACGUUGAGGCCCGAAAGCGUGGGGAGCAAACAGGAUUAGAUACCCCAGUACAU
rnacentral:rRNA from 1 species